rnacentral:rRNA from 1 species
GACGAACGCUGGCGGCGUGCUUAACACAUGCAAGUCGAACGGAAAGGCCCUGCUUUUGUGGGGUGCUCGAGUGGCGAACGGGUGAGUAACACGUGAGUAACCUGCCCUUGACUUUGGGAUAACUUCAGGAAACUGGGGCUAAUACCGGAUAGGAGCCCCCGUUGCAUGGUGGGGGUUGGAAAGUUUCGGCGGUUGGGGCUGGACUCGCGGGUUAUCAGCUUGUUGGUGGGGUAGUGGCUUACCAAGGCAUUGACGGGUAGCCGGCCUGGGAGGGUAACCGGCCACAAUGGGACUGAGAUACGGCCCAGACUCCUACGGGAGGCAGCAGUGGGGAAUAUUGCACAAUGGGCGGAAGCCUGAUGCAGCAACGCCGCGUGCGGGAUGACGGCCUUCGGGUUGUAAACCGCUUUCGCCUGUGACGAAGCGUGAGUGACGGUAAUGGGUAAAGAAGCACCGGCUAACUACGUG